rnacentral:rRNA from 1 species
AUUGAACGCUGGCGGCAGGCCUAACACAUGCAAGUCGAGCGGAUGAGAGGGGCUUGCUCCUUGAUUCAGCGGCGGACGGGUGCGUAAUGCCUAGGAAUCUGCCUGGUAGUGGGGGACAACGUUUCGAACGGAACGCUAAUACCGCAUACGUCCUACGGGAGAAAGCAGGGGACCUUCGGGCCUUGCGCUAUCAGAUGAGCCUAGGUCGGAUUAGCUAGUAGGUGGGGUAAUGGCCCACCUAGGCGACGAUCCGUAACUGGUCUGAGAGGAUGAUCAGUCACACUGGAACUGAGACAGGGUCCAGACUCCUACGGGAGGCAGCAGUGGGGAAUAUUGGACAAUGGGCGAAAGCCUGAUCCAGCCAUGCCGCGUGUGUGAAGAAGGUCUUCGGAUUGUAAAGCACUUUAAGUUGGGAGGAAGGGCAGUUAGUUAAUACCUGGCUGUUUUGACGUUACCAACAGAAUAAGCACCGGCUAACUUCGUGCCAGCAGCCGCCGUAAUAC